GGGGCUGUAGCUCGGUGGUAGAGUGCUUGCCUAGAAUGUAUGAGGCAACUGGGUUUGAUCCUCAGCACCA
rnacentral:tRNA from 1 species